rnacentral:lncRNA from 1 species
GCAACCUCAUGGUUCCUAGUCACAUUCGUUAACCACUGACCCACGACGGGAACUCCUCAAGGACUUUUUAUCAGAGGGGACCCACAAGUUAUCCAAGAGAGUGGGGUAGCUCCUUGAGCAUGGUCAUGAAGGAGAGAGAGCCCUUCCAAGGGCAGCGGUGAGAAGAGCAUAACAGAUGACUGGGGUGCCCACGAGCUAUGGGGUCCCACAAACAAACAACCUGGCAGCCCCUACACCUGUAAUUUUACUUUAUGAGAAGUGGAGAUCCUGAGAGCAGCCCCAAGAGCACAGGCCACAACGACCAGUGCUGUAUGGUGUGGCAGUGGGGCCCCAGCUGAGGUGUCACACACAUUCACACAGCAGCAUGAGUGGCUCCCAUCAUCAGCCCUGAGGUAUACACAUAUACACAGCAAGGUCCUGCUUCUUCCGAAUUACUGGAGAAAACUGAAAUCAGCCAGGUGAUAGGAGAGAACAGGCACUCACACAGAGCCAGGAAGACUUUGAUUAAGGGACCACAUGUAAGGGACAGUAGGGACAUGUAAGUCAAGUUCAUUCAGGCUGUCUUAGUCCAUGGCUGGUCUUCUCAGGUCCAGACUCUUAGAAUUUGUCUUGGCGAAGCUUGGGGAGCAGAAGCCUGGGGUAACUCACAGCCCAAGAAUCCUCUGGCUAAAGGCUGUGCUUGGUCCUUGUGAAGGGCCCUUGUCUGUAUUUAGAAGAGCUUUAUUACACUGAAGUAACUUAAAGGAAAUAUGCCGAGUAUAGUAACUGUGAUACUUACGGCAUUUUCUGACUUAGUGCCCAGAAAACCAAUAAUCUAGGAAGACAAAUUUUUAUGUCUUUUUCCUUAAGUUCUUACAGACAUCUUCAAGAAGAGAGCUGUUUGGUUAUUCUGAUUCCAGAAUAAGAGAAUUGGAGCAGAAAGUUAAAGUAAGACUCUGACGGAGGGGAGGGAUGGGAAUGGGCUAAAUUUCAGAAAAUCCUUCAUGGGCAAAGUCAGAAGGUUUCAACAUGUAAGGUCACCUGUAAGUUGGCUUGGAGAUAGAGGAAUGGGUUUGGUGACUGAGGCAUUCUUCAUUCUACGUCUAAGGCCAGAUCUGAAGGUAUAGCAUGAGUAUAGCCAUAGUGGGACUACCAACCAAGUUCAUUGGGUACUGAUUCUACUGCCCACACAGUGCCAAAGGCUCUUCAUGCUGAAUCCUUCCCCUAAUAUGUCCAGGAGGCUGUGUCCUAAUAUGUCCAUCAAUGCCUACUACUUAGCAUCCAUCCUCUGUGGACCAAACCUGUACUCAUGUUCCAGCAUUCGAGUGUGGUCCAUACUGCAAAGCCCAAGGGGAGAACAUGUGAUAUCGCCUGGCCAAUCACAGUAUGCCAACCCUUUCCUGCCACGGUGUCUGGUUUAGGGCUUGAGUCAUGAUACAAGGCCAGCCAAUCAGACUCCUGACUGGAACUUUUUUUCUUUUUGUCAUAUUGGGGAAAGCAUUUUCAUCUGUUGGGAUGGUGAGCAGUCAGGAUUCUGUGAGCCGCAGCUACUGGGAGCCAUCCUGCAAGGCUGUGUGGAAGAGGCCAACAUGUUAAGAGGAAGAAGGAGAGGGAAGUGUAAGAAUGCUAUAUUAGCUGUUCUUGAAGCCAGAUCCACCCUUAGACGCUGCAGCUUCUUUAGCCAGUGCAAGUUGGGCUUUUACAACCCAGAGUUGGGACUAAUAGUCUGUUUUAUUCCUAGCCCCAUUUUUUUUUCAAAUAAGAUUAAGUAACUUAUCCAAAGUCACACUGUGAGUAAGUGAAGAGGUGUAAUUCUAAUGCCAAUUGGUCAUGAUCAAAACCACGUAUCAAAUUAUCAUAUACAACCAUAUCAUAUACAAGGACACAUCAGCCAGUUGUGUCACCCACUCCCCACUCCACCUGGGGCAACUGGGUGCAAUACAGUUUUCCAGAAGCUAAAGAACAGAGGCACUAUUCAGCAAGAGUCAGCUUUUGUGGGGUUAAAAAUUGUCAGAGAGAGAUGUCACGCCCAACUUUUUGGAGUCCAGUGACUUCAGGAGAGAACAAGCAAGCUCCACUGUACAGAGUGAGGGUAGGAUGGGGAAAGAAAAUUCAUUUCUUUCCCCAGAUGGCAGUCUUGAUUGGAAAAGGGCCCACUACCCCAGGCACUAUCAAAUCUGCAUUGCUUCCUUUUAAAUUCCCUUCAUCUGCAGCCAUUAAAGAAGUUACCCCCAAAGAAGCCAGGAGUUUAUUAAUGUGUUUCAUCAGAGAGAGUCAGCCACUUCACAUUAUACCAAGAUAGAUUAUGUGGGCAAAUGAGAGAUCCAGAAAACAUCUGCUAAACAAAAUCAAAAUUAAUGGUAAACAGAAUGCAAUUCUUGAUAGCUGAAGUUCACCCAGAUGCACAGAACUAUAAAGGGGCGAUUAGAGGCAGCUGCCAAUUAAGGGACUAAUUCCAAGGGUUUUCACAAAGUGAGGCUCUAGUUACACAGUCAGGACUGGCAGGUUAUGUUUAUAUAGAAGAUUUGCAUUGCUAAGCAGCCAGAGCCACCCUGGCUGUGUGACUGUCACGCUCCUCUCCUUUUCCACGAAGACAGCAGCAUCUCUCCGCCCAGGUCUCCUUCACAGCCCUGCCGGAAGCCAGCCAGGCUGGUCUAGACCAGAAUGUGUGAGUGAGCCAUCGCUGGGAGGGUGGGUAAUGCAACAUGACACUGGUGCCCACCCCCAAACCCAUAGCCUCUAAUCAGAGCACAAUCACAGACAUCUGGAAUAGCGUAUGGAUAACCCCAUGCUGUAAGGGAUGGCUGACAAGGGCUGACUUAUCCCGGCUGCUUGCUCAGCUCACUCAAGUGUUCUCUCAUGGCUGUAAUUCGAUGUGAUGGCAUCAGUUAGAGAAAAGUACUGGUCUGAGGAGAUGAAUUCUGGCAGUCAUGAUCAGCAUUGGCUCUCAGAGGGGACAAGGGAGUGUCUCAGAGAGGUGAGGUUGGCACCUUUCGCUGAAGCUUCAGGAAAAGUUGAAAUUAAAUUGUAGGUGUCUAGGGGAGGUGUAAAAACACCUGCAUUAGAAAGCAGAUGAAGAAGCAGCCAUCUCUCCUUCACCAUGCAGCUGGCAGAGGUGGGCCCCAAGGUAGGAGCAUAACAUAGGACUGCUCUGAAGGUGGAAGCAGGUCUCGCUGGGGUAGGUACACCCUUCCCCAAAGACAUCCUGCCAGUCUUGCGGUCCUGUCACAACCUCUGACACUCUCUCCCUCCAGGUUUCCCUGAGAGUCCUUACCAUAAAUCCAAAUGAGAAACAAAGCUUUCUUCCAAGAGUCCCUCUCAGCUCUCUGGGCUUGGCAGUGGCCAUGUAUGUUUAGAAAUCCUUGGAUGAUGAAGCGAUAUCAAGCCAUGGAAGCUCCCUUCCCCCUCCCAUUAGAGAUCAGUUCCAUGCAUUAGAUGGACAUGGGCCCAGAGGGACUUUAUUCCUAUUAAAAUUAGCACAGAAAGGAAGGAGUCUUGUCUAAGGUGCUAUCUGCUCCGCUCAUAUCACUCGUUACUGAGUCUAGGGAGGUAAAGAACAUGAAAGCUCUCUGAAAACUUCACAACAACCAAGAUGUAAUUAUCUUUAUAACUAUGGCCCCAUUCUCUCCAUGCACUGUCCUUGGAAGACAGGUGCUGGUGCUGGGGCACAUCCUGGGCUCUGACGAAGCUGUCCCUCUUCAUGGACGCUCUAGAGCAGGGCUUGCAGAGGGCACUACAUGAAAUGCCAACUCAGAGAUGAUUAAAAGCAACAAAUCAAGAUGCCAUGAGAAACUAAGUUAGGGAAAUGCUGCGUAUUACACCCCCUUUUGAAAGUUCUAUUUUGCAUCUUAAAGACCUGAGAGGAUCUGCAAUAAAAAUGACAAGCUUGAGAUUGAGUCCAGUAUUUACUAAGUGCAUUAUUUUUCUAGGGAUACUUUAAUAAAGUUCCACAACCUGAGUGGUUUAACAAGAGAAAUCUGUUCUCUCCCAGCUCUGGAGGCUGGAAGUCAGAAAUCAAAGUGGUGGCCUGGCCAUGCUCCCUCUGAAGGCUCUAGGAGAAGACUCUUUUUCGCUUCUUUCAAGUUUAUGGUGAUUGUCAGCAAUCCUUGGUGUUCCUUGGCUUACAGACUCAUCACUCCAAUCUGUACCUUCAUCAAA